rnacentral:lncRNA from 1 species
GAGAAGCGUGUCUGGACUUAGCCGCAUCACAGAUAUACUCUCUACUUAUUGAAAGCCCACACUGAUCAAUAUAGAAAGUGAAAAUCAAUUAUCUGCUAUAAAUUAAAAUGGCUUCAGAAGUUCAAAUCACGGAGCCGUGUGAUAAAUACAAAGCGAACUAUUCUUUCGCCUUUUACUAAAGAAUACCGUGUAUUUGUCACAUUAAGCGGCAUGCGCCUAUUUUUGGGAAGGGAUCUCUUUAGAUCCUGCAAUUAUAGUCCAAAUCUUCAUGUAAUUAUGUGUUCAUUUCAGCUCUGUCUGCUUUUGUGAAUGGACCUUAUUGUUCUUGCAAGAAAGUAUUUAAUAAAAUUAGUUUUGUAUGACUAUAAAUGUCUUAAUAAGAUUAUAUCAUUAUAAACAAUGUAUCGUCAUAUUUUAUUAUAGUGAAAUAUGUUUUAUUCUUUUUCGACUUUGAUCAAUUAAUUACAUAGAACAUAAACUAUUUUGAUAAUUUCAUAAAUUUUAUUUAUUCUAUUUUGAAUUUUAAUAAAACAUGAAAAAUUUAGAUUUCUAAUUAAAAAAAUAAAACGAACAUAAAAAUACAAAGUUAUUCCAUCAUUCAAAUUACUUAAUAAAAAAUCAAUUACAAUUAGAAAUACAUUAAUAAAUCAACAAUUAAUAUGAAUAAAUCAAUAGUAAAUAAGAAUGCACUUAAGAAUUUUGAUGAAAGUUUUUCAUUUUUUUACCAUAUAUUAAAAGACUCUAAUUUUAUACAAAAGUAUCAUUUAAUUAUCAAUAUUUAAAAUUAAAAUUAAACUUAUUUUAAACUAUCACUAAUAAUAAACAAAAUAUAUUUGUGUAAAAUUAAAAUGAAAAUUAAACUUAUUUAAAAUAUCACUAAUCAUAAAUUAUCAAUAUUUAAAAUGAAAAUUAAACUUAUUAUUAGUGAAGCUAGAAGGUAAAGGUAGCAGAAAAACAAAAUAUAUUUUUUGUGUAAACAAUGAUUUUUUUUUUCUAUGUAUGUUCAACUUGAUUUUACCAUGUUAUUUUGGUGCAGUUUCCUCUUGUAGUGUUCUUUAUUGGUAUUUUGUGAACAUUUUCUGAAAUUUGGAAUUGUGAAAGUCAUCGUGGUGAGAAACUCUUGUAUGCAACACUUGUAUUUAAUAAGAAAGAGAUUGAAUAUACAUGCAUCUUUACACAAUUUACCAGAUCUUACCAAUCUCAAAUAGUACCUCAUGAUUAAAACACAAACUUGAACAACUUUUAAAGUUCAUCAGUGAAGAAAACAUAAUGAUAAUGAGACAAAGAAGUAGAGAAAGAAGAAUUGUUGAAGGAGCAAAGCUAUGAGGGAAGAGUGUGACUUCGGACUUAGCAUCAUCAGUGAGGGAAAGCCCACACUGAUCAAUACAGAAAGUGAAAAUCACUUAUCUGUUAUAAAUUGAGAAAGCUUCGAAGUUUCAAAGCACGGAGCUGUGUGAUAAAUACAAAGCGAACUAUUCUUUCGCCUUUUACUAAAGAAUACCGUGUAUUUGUCACAUUAAGCAGCAUACGCCUAUUUUUGUAAAGGGAUCUAAUUAGAUCCUGCAAUUCUAGUCUAAAUUUUUAUAACAAUUUGUAUUUUAUGUAAGUCAAUUAUUGAAUAUAUUAUAAAAAUAUAUUAGAAGACAUAACUAUUAUAAAAAUACUCCAAUGUUUUUUUAAUGCUGUUAUUUAUAUAUUAAGGA